UACGCCCGGAAAAGAUGGAACUCUCGCGAUAAAAGUCCCUUUUGCCGGGGACGUGAUAGGAAAGGAACGCGCUUCCGGUGCAGGAGGGCCAGUUAACUACCGAGAGGGGCGGGGCCAAGGGCGGGACACCGCAGUCCUGUUCUGCUACCCGCCGGGCCCGCUCUGUUCGCGGAGAACCCUCGAAACCCUGUCGGCCCUUCGCUUCAGCUCCUAACCCCCUCCAGCCGGGGUUCCAUUUCUCUGCCUCCUUUACAGAAAAACUUAGGAGGAUAUAGUAGGUGGAAUAAUGAACCCCUACGUACCCCAAAGAUGUCCAUGCCCUAGGCCCUGGACCUGUGAAUGUUCGUUUAUAUGACAAAAGGUAUUUUGCAGCCAUGAUUAAAAUUAAGGACCUUGAGAUGGGAAGGUUAUCCUGGAUUACUGAGGGGGACCCAACCUAAUUACAUGAAGCUUUCCCAGCUCCAGAAAAACAGACAAAUGGUUCACGAGAGAGAUUCAACUUGCUAUUGCUGGCUUUGAAGAUGGAGGGUGGGGCCGUGAGCCGAGGAAUGUGGUGGCCUCUAGAAGCUGAGAAUGGCCUUCAGCUUAUAGCAGGCAAGAAAUGGGGGACCUUGCCCCACCACUGCAAGGGAACAGAUUCUUGCCCAGCACUCAGGACACCUGCAGGCCAAAGGACCUGAAGGAGCAGGAAAUGGAUUCUCUCCUGGAACCUUCAGAAAGGAAUGCAGCCUUGAUAACACCUUGGUUUUAGUCUGGUGAGACUUAUACCAGACUUCUGAACUGUAUAACUAUAAUAAACUUGUGUUGUUUUAA